rnacentral:rRNA from 1 species
UACGUAGGGGGCAAGCGUUGUCCGGAUUUCUUGGGCGUAAAGAGCGUGUAGGCGGCCAGAUAGGUCCGUUGUGAAAACUCGAGGCUCAACCUCGAGACGCCGAUGGAAACCAUUUGGCUAGAGUCCGGAAGAGGAGAGUGGAAUUCCUGGUGUAGCGGUGAAAUGCGCAGAUAUCAGGAAGAACACCCGUGGCUAAGGCGGCUCUCUAGUACGGUACUGACGCUGAGACGCGAAAGCGUGGGGAGCGAACAGG